rnacentral:rRNA from 1 species
UGAGGAACAUGACCUUCGGCGGGGGAUAGCCGGCCCAACGGCCGGGUAAUACCGCGUACGACCACUUUGGGACAUCCCUAGGUGGUGAAAGCAGCAAUGCGCCGAUGGAGUGCCUCGCGGCCUAUCAGCUAGUUGGUGAGAUAACGGCUCACCAAGGCGACGACGGGUAGCUGGUCUGAGAGGAUGGCCAGCCACAGUUGGGACUGAGACACGGCCCAGACCUCCGUAAGGGACGG